UACAGAGGGGGCAAGCGUUGUCCGGACUGACUGGGCGUAAAGGGCGCGCAGGCGGUCGCGGGCGCGAUGCUGAAAGCGCACCGCUUAACGGUGCAAAGCGUGUCGAUACGCCGUGACUUGAGCGCGGGCGAGGGUGGUAGAAUUGCCGGUGUAGUGGUGAUAUGCGUAGAUAUCGGCAGGAAUACCCGUGGCGAAGGCGGCCACCUAGCCCGUUGCUGACGCUGAGGCGCGACAGCGUGGGGAGCGGAACUGG
rnacentral:rRNA from 1 species